rnacentral:rRNA from 1 species
AGUAGACGGAGCAGUCACGGAGCGUGUUGGCGGCGGCGGCAGGGAGGACAGCGAGCACGGCGGCGGCGACGGCUGGGAGCGCGUCGGCGGUGGCGGACGAGAGGAGACGACGGGGUGGCGGGGUCGUAGCGGAGCUGGCAGCUCGUCCAGCAGGGGUGUCGUCGCGGAGGAGAGACCUAGUUGACGACUGCCGGUAGUUGCGGCCGACGGGUCAGGUAUCCGUCGGAAGGACGUCCCAGGGCGUGCCAUCUAACGCCGUUAAUGACACCGACGUGCCCACUCGGGCAUCGGCAGUACGUGAAACCGCCACCACUUCUACUCCGUCCGCGUGUGGCGCUGUGUUCGUCGCUACGCCUGCGUCUGGGCGUUCUAACCUACGUAUAUAUAACAUAGUAACUACUAGCGGUGUACUUAUACUAAAGUGGUGUUUCUUAACUCUAUCGUUUUCCGCCUUGAUGGCACCUCGUUACUUCUUUGGUUAUAAUGAAACGUUCGUCUACCUCGAAAACCUCAUUAAUAUAAAGAAACAACACAUCCUGUACUACCGUCCUUUGACAAUCGAUGCAUGUCAAACAAUAUCUGGCGCUAACGAAUCAAAUUAAUUAAAGAGGGUACAGACAAAAUCGUAGUUUAAUGUUUAACUCAUUAUUGUCUUCCCGAUACUUCUAGACAUUAUCACUAUUAUAGUCCAGUUUACGAAUAAAAUCCAUCAUUUCCAGACUUCGGUGAUUUAAACUCUAAGUUACGGGAAAGUAAUAAUAACAAUGCUAAAUAGGCACUA